rnacentral:tRNA from 1 species
GGUCAAGUAGCGCAAUGGUAGCGUGUGGUCCUCCUAAGACUGAGGUUGUGGGUUCGAGUCCCAUCUUGAUCG